GCGAAUCACUUAUCUCCCCAAGCAGUGCCCCUGCUCUGUUCUUCGACUUGACCCUCUAAGGAUUGGGCGCAAGGAGGCGAAUCAAUGGCGCCGACGCUCCGCCCCGGGAGCCUCUCUGGCGGACGGCCAUAGAUCACGAGCCGCUGCAGUCGAUCCAUUCUUAGCGAGCCCUGAGAUCGACGGAGGGGGGCGGCGGCCGAUUUAUCGCGGCAGCCAAGCAUACAGGAAUUUGUACAUGUCCCAGGCGAGACGACACAAUCCAAUGAACAUAUGGGACUAGUAACGCCUCCGGCCACAUUGAGGGGCGCAAAUACCUGUGCCUACGGCCCAGAUGUCAACCCAGAUGUACCUGCCGAUGAUUCUGGAAGCGUUAUAGUCGUGUCUGGCUGGAAGAAAAGAUUAUCCCAUGCUGCAACAGGCGAGUGUUUGGUGCAUGUAUUGAGCAUCUGCAGUCCAUUGCCGCCAGAGAGAAUAAGCCCAUGUGUAAGACAAUCUUUGUAACCAGAGAACUACUGGAGUACGAAGUCAAGCUUGAUCAUGGAGCUAAGAAGACCAGGAUUCACGGUGUUGGCUGGCGUAUGUUUAUUGAUGCGUAUGUAGUGCGGCCUGGCGACAUGGUAUAUAUAUGCCUCUCCCUAAGAAAUGGACGGUUUUUUGUGGAUGUCGAGAGGGAUGGCGUGAGGCAGACGCCACUUCCUUAUCUUGGUAUUAUACACGACCAUCACCCACAUCCGUUCAUUCCAUCAUCUGGUAUUAUACAACAUGUGCCCGGCACAUGUGCCCGCAUAUCUUGUACUCGGGAUGUAAUGUUCUCAGUUGUACCCCGUCCAUGCCUCGCUUCUUGUAGCUUGUACAUGGCACCUGGAUGAUCCCUCCUGUACAUUGUACAUGGUAUAGCCAGAUCACUCGUGCGUGGUA